rnacentral:lncRNA from 1 species
UGCAUUUCCCUCUUAGUUAUGAUAUUUGGACCGUAGAAAUGCAUUUUCCUCUUAGUUAUGAUAUUUGACCCAUAGAGAUUCAUUUUCCUCUUAGUUAUGAUAUUUGGUCCAUAGAGAUGAUUUUUCUCUUAGUUAUGAUUAUACAGAUGAUUUUCCUCUUGGUCAUGAUGUAUGACCUAUAGAUAUGAGAUGUCUAAUAGAGGUGAUAUGCUUAUUAAUAUUAUGCCUCCUAGAUGUGAGAUGCCUUCUAUAUAUGAGAUGAUUAUAGACAUGCUACGGCUUAUACAUAUGAUUAUUGAUAUGAGUUACAGAUAUGUAUAUGGGCCUAAGGCCAUGAUUAAUUAUGAUCUUGUGAUUAUUCUGGAUAUAUUAUUGAGAUAAGGGUUGUGUUAUGAUGAUGAUUGGAUAUUUGAGAAGUGUUUAUCAUUAUAAAGGAUGCAAUUACAGUUCAUGAGUAUGCAUAUAUCUAUUUGUAUGCACAUCUCACCGGUAUGGGACAGAGGAAGAUGUGGUAUGUUGCUUACGAUUUUUUUGAUUGAAUACUGGUGAUGGCAUGCAUAGAUUUGGUACAUUCAUGAUUAUUAUAUUGGAAACUUAUGUGAUUCUAGAUGAAAUAUGAUUUUAUGAUUGUUCUGCUUAAUGAAGGGUUAAGUUAUGUGGUUAUUAGUUGUCUUUUAGGAAACUAUAGCACUUGGUGGCUAGGAAUCAAACGUAUUAGUUAAUGAGUCUUGCUUAGUUGAAAUAUGGUAGCUAUUGAUGGUUGAUGCGUGGCUAAUAAUGAUGUUGGGUUUAGCAUAAAUGAUGAUUAGUGAUAUUGAUAACUAAGUUUGUAAUGUUGAUUAGUUAUCAAAUGAGGGGUUGUGUAUUAAUAAGGCCAGACAAUAAGUGAUGUUGGUAAUAAAGAGGUAUCUAGUUAAUAACGUAGAUUAUUUGCUAAAUGGUUGAUUAAUGAAUAGUUAAACAAGAAUUGGUAGGUUAACGAUGGUUACUUAAUGAAUGAUGUCGGUCAAUAAAAGAUGGUUAGGUGAUAAGUGGCUAUGUUUUGUCUAAUAAUAGUUAACAGGUAUAUGAUGAUUAGUUCAUAAUUUGGAAUAAUGGAUUCAUGGAGAUUAUGGUCUAGUAAUGAACCUUGGCUAGAUGUUAGACGUUUGUUAUUUAAUAAAUAAUGGUUAGUUUCUAUCCCCUGAAUAAGGUUAAUGUUUAGACAAAUAACUAGAGGUCACGUGAUGACGAACGAACUAGUGAUUUCUUUACAAAUAAUGUUGUUUAGCUAAUAACGAGUAGUUGGGAAGUAAUAUCGAGAUAGAUACUUUAUUGGGAUAUAAUUAUGUUUAUAAGUAUAUUAGUAUAUGUUAUUCCGUAAUGGUUAUUAUGAUGAUAUUGAUACCUAGAAAGGCCGGAGGAUACUAUUGUGAUGAUAUUGAUACCCAGUAAGGCCGGACGAUACUAUUGUGAUGAUAUUGAUACCCGACAAGGCCGGAGGAUACUAUUGUGAUGAUAUUAAUACCCGGCAGGGUCGAAAGAUAUUAUGAUUAUGCACAAAUACCUGGCAAGUUUGAAGGUUAAUUACAAUAAUGAUGGUUAUAAUGAUGACAGUUAUGAUAAGUUGUGAUAUUGAUUGUGUACAUUGCAUUCAUUUCUGCAUGCAGAUCGCCUAUCACCAGUAUGCACCUAUGUCUAUCAUCCAGUAGGGUGCGGUUGCAUGGAUAUAGGUGAAGAAUAUGCCUUGUGUUGUUAUGUGUUGAUUGAACCUUUCGAGUCUCGGGCUAUGGGGGU